rnacentral:rRNA from 1 species
AACGGCCAUACCAUGUUGAAUAUACCGGUUCUCGUUAGAUCACCGAAGUCAAGCAUCAUUGGGCGCGGUCAGUACUUGGGUGGGUGGGUGACCACAUGGGAACACUGCGUGCCGUU